rnacentral:rRNA from 1 species
AGCGCGCGCAGGCGGCCUUUUAAGUUGGAUGUGAAAGCCUAUGGCUCAACCAUAGAACUGCAUCCAAAACUAUCAGGCUAGAGUGUGGGAGAGGAAGAUGGAAUUAGUUGUGUAGGGGUAAAAUCCGUAGAGAUAACUAGGAAUACCAAAAGCGAAGGCAAUCUUCUGGAACAUUACUGACGCUGAGGCGCGAAAGCGUGGGGAGCAAACAGGAUUAGAUACCCUGGUAGUCCACGCCCUAAACGAUGAAUGUUAGUCGUCGGGUAGCUAGUCUAUUCGGUGAUGCAGCUAACGCAUUAAACAUUCCGCCUGGGGAGUACGGUCGCAAGAUUAAAACUCAAAGGAAUAGACGGGGACCCGCACAAGUGGUGGAGCAUGUGGUUUAAUUCGAAGAUACGCGAAGAACCUUACCUAGCCUUGACAUAUUUAAGAACACUUUAGAGAUAGAGUGGUGCCUUCGGGAGCUUUUAUACAGGUGCUGCACGGCUGUCGUCAGCUCGUGUCGUGAGAAGUUGGGUUAAGUCCCGCAACGAGCGCAACCCUCGUCACUAGUUACUAACGGUUCGGCCGAGGACUCUAGUGAGACUGCCUUCGCAAGGAGGAGGAAGGUGAGGACGACGUCAAGUCAUCAUGGCCCUUACGGCUAGGGCAACACACGUGCUACAAUGGCCAGGACAAUGA